rnacentral:tRNA from 1 species
UGUUCUGUGGCUUAGUUGGUAAAAGCGCAUCUAGCGGAUAUGUGGGUUCGAAACCCAUUAGAACGU